rnacentral:rRNA from 1 species
GAAUACCGAAGAAUGUUAUCACGGGAGACACACGGCGGGUGCUAACGUCCGUCGUGAAAAGGGAAACAACCCAGACCGUCAGCUAAGGUCCCAAAGUUAUGGUUAAGUGGGAAACGAUGUGGGAAGGCUUAGACAGCUAGGAGGUUGGCUUAGAAGCAGCCAUCCUUUAAAGAAAGCGUAACAGCUCACUGGUCUAAACAAGGGUUCCUGCGCCGAAAAUGUAACGGGGCUCAAGCCACGAGCCGAAGCUUCGGAUGCAGUCCUUCGGGGCUGCGUGGUAGCGGAGCGUUCCC